rnacentral:rRNA from 1 species
GACGAACGCUGGCGGCGUGCCUAAUACAUGCAAGUAGAACGCUGAAGCUUGGUGCUUGCACCGAGCGGAUGAGUUGCGAACGGGUGGGUAACGCGUAGGUAACCUGCCUGGUAGCGGGGGAUAACUAUUGGAAACGAUAGCUAAUACCGCAUAAGAGUAGAUGUUGCAUGACAUUUGCUUAAAAGGUGCAAUUGCAUCACUACCAGAUGGACCUGCGUUGUAUUAGCUAGUUGGUGAGGUAACGGCUCACCAAGGCAACGAUACAUAGCCGACCUGAGAGGGUGAUCGGCCACACUGGGACUGAGACACGGCCCAGACUCCUACGGGAGGCAGCAGUAGGGAAUCUUCGGCAAUGGACGGAAGUCUGACCGAGCAACGCCGCGUGAGUGAAGAAGGUUUUCGGAUCGUAAAGCUCUGUUGUAAGAGAAGAACGAGUGUGAGAGUGGAAAGUUCACACUGUGACGGUAUCUGACCAGAAAGGGACGGCUAACUACGUG